UGUAUAUGCUGUAGUGCCACACGGAAGGAACCACCCUAAUGGUGGUAUAAGGUUCAUCUUGGAGAUCCUCCCGGGGCUUGCUCGAGCUGACAACCACYUGUUCACAGGAAUGAUGAGGCUCUCCAUCUUCAGGGCUGCUGUAGCUGYUAUYRCUCUGAUGCAUCCUGGAGUGCCUUUGGUUACUGCAUCUAGCUGGGUGGAGUACUAGGCCACUGGCCUAMGGYGAGGACCUAGUUUUUGRAUGUGAAAGCUUUCUCUUUUCCUGGAUGCCAGGUCAAAGGCUCUGUCUCCUCCUUCUUUGUUGCCUG
rnacentral:lncRNA from 1 species